AACGAGUUCUGAUUAUUGAAAGGUGCUUGCAUCUUGAUUUAAUUUUGAACGAGUGGCGGACGGGUGAGUAACACGUGGGUAACCUGCCCUUAAGUGGGGGAUAACAUUUGGAAACAGAUGCUAAUACCGCAUAAAUCCAAGAACCGCAUGGUUCUUGGCUGAAAGAUGGCGUAAGCUAUCGCUUUUGGAUGGACCCGCGGCGUAUUAGCUAGUUGGUGAGGUAACGGCUCACCAAGGCAAUGAUACGUAGCCGAACUGAGAGGUUGAUCGGCCACAUUGGGACUGAGACACGGCCCAAACUCCUACGGGAGGCAGCAGUAGGGAAUCUUCCACAAUGGACGCAAGUCUGAUGGAGCAACGCCGCGUGAGUGAAGAAGGCUUUCGGGUCGUAAAACUCUGUUGUUGGAGAAGAAUGGUCGGCAGAGUAACUGUUGUCGGCGUGACGGUAUCCAACCAGAAAGCCACGGCUAACUACGUGCCAGCAGCCGCGGUAAUACGUAGGUGGCAAGCGUUAUCCGGAUUUAUUGGGCGUAAAGCGAGCGCAGGCGGUUUUUUAAGUCUGAUGUGAAAGCCCUCGGCUUAACCGAGGAAGUGCAUCGGAAACUGGGAGACUUGAGUGCAGAAGAGGAGAGUGGAAUUCCAUGUGUAGCGGUGAAAUGCGUAGAUAUAUGGAGGAACACCAGUGGCG
rnacentral:rRNA from 1 species